rnacentral:rRNA from 1 species
AAAACUCUGUCCUCAAGGAAGAUAAUGACGGUACUUGAGGAGGAAGCCCCGGCUAACUACGUGCCAGCAGCCGCGGUAAUACGGAGGGGGCUAGCGUUAUCCGGAUUUACUGGGCGGAAAGGGUGCGUAGGCGGUCUUUCAAGUCAGGAGUGAAAGGCUACGGCUCAACCGUAGUAAGCUCUUGAAACUGGGAGACUUGAGUGCAGGAGAG